rnacentral:misc_RNA from 1 species
GAACGCACCUUGCACCCUUUGGCAUUCCGAAGGGUAUGCUCGUUUGAGUGUCAUUGUACUCUCACUCUCCCGAUACUUUUGGAUCGGGAGUGGUGGACUUGGGUGCUGCUGCUUAACUGUGGCUCGCCUCAAAUGAAGUAGUGCAACUCUCGGUUGGACAUAGUACGGCGUGAUAAGUAUCUUCGCCGGCGCCUCAUUCGAGGGUGGCCGAUCGGGAGCUCUGUGCUUCAAACCGUCUUCGGACAAUAUCUGACAACUUGACCUCAAAUCGAGUAGGACUACCCGCUGAACUUA